CUUUAUGGUAGAGGUGCGCUAAUUAUAAGUAGUGAUCAGUAGGGUGAUGCCUAAGAUCGUUCACGAAAGGAGUUAGUGCCGAAGUUGAGCUAUCCAUCAUGAUCUACUGCUGGUGUUGCUGUUGAAAAAGCGCAACACUGCCAUGGUGUUUUUUAUCGGGAAGAUAGAAGAUUUUAACCGUGGAGCGCUACUGAUAGG
rnacentral:ncRNA from 2 species